rnacentral:lncRNA from 1 species
GCCCUUUUCUUUUCUCCGCCUUCCUCCCUCUCCUCCACAAGAGCAGCGGCGCUCGUCCGAGACAGACGACAGGAUGCAGAGCAGAACAGAGCAGAGCAGAGCGUCCAGCGGGAUUCGUUGCUCGGGAUCCGGCCGACCGCGGCAGGCUGGCGGUGGCGGAGGCCAUGCGCGGCUGCCUGCCGGAGGCCAUUGAAAUAGGCCAGAGAGAGUGAGAGAGGGACUGGUAGUGAAAUCAGAGAGCGAGCGAGCAAGCCUCCACGCCAGCUCGACCGUGCCAGAGUCCCCGCCGACGACCCCCAGCCGACGCCCUCAAGCCCGCUUAACCCGGGUCCGACCUCUCUCGGUACCUGCUUUCUGGCGUUUCCGAUGACUUACUCCGUUCUUUUUUUCCGUUCUAGUAGUGAUAGCUAUGGAUUUAGCAGUACUUGCAGCUCAUGGGCAGCAUGCGGGUCAUCCACUAGUUAGAUUUGAUGGAAUGACUCU